CAGCCGGUGCUGAAGCAGCCCUGGGAGCAGCCGACACCAGCUGCCUGCACCAGGGCACGGUGCAGCCCAGGGGCAGAGUCCAUGGAGCGAGGAGGACAUUGACACUAAUUCCCGGCAUUUGGAGAAACCCUGGAACCCAUCCUGGGCACCUUUCCUAGAAUAUGCAUUAUGCAGAGGGCACAAAGAGAGCUGUGACCUGACAUUACCAGGAUUUUCUCCUUCCUCCUGGGACUAUUUUCCACAUCUGCAAUCAAACAUGAGGAUCUUGGAUCAGCCUCCUCAGUCAUCUGCAGACUCACGGAUGACUUCCCUAUUUACUGUAAGACUGUCAUCCACGUAUCCAGGGGCUGCUGCUGCUGAACUGUGAGAAUAUGUUUGAAGAGACAUUUGAACUUGGUUGUAUCAAAGUAUACUCUUAUUUUUAAAAAGGAGACACAGAUCAAAACUGCA